AUUUGACAAAUUGAAGGUGAAAAUUGACAAACAACAUUCAUUUUGAUAUUAGUUGUCUAUGCAUGCAAAUUUAAGGGGCAAACUAUUAUUUAAGUAUAGGCCCGUGUACUUUCUACCCGACUCAUAACUCCAAACCCGAACCGCCACUCACAAAGUAAAGCUGGUUAAUAUUUCACCAAUCAAAUAGCAAAACAUUAUGCGAUCCUUGUCCUCUGGUUGGCUACUCUCCGUUCACAAUCCGGCGUCAACAACCGGAGAUUUUACCAGCCGAAGAAGCUUCUGGAUUGGAGCUGCCAAUCGGAAAAUGGAUGGUAAAAAAGGACAAGAACCAACAAGUAUUAAUAAUGAAAAUAACGUUAAAUUGGAGCCUCAAGUUCAUAAAAUGCAACAACUCAUCGACACUCAUUCUUCUGGUGGUUGGGACAAGUGCUGGGAACAAGGAGUUACCCCGUGGGAUUUAGGACAACCAACGCCCAUUUUGUUGCAUCUUCAUCAGACAGGAUCCCUUCCUGAUGGCAGGGUUUUAAUCCCUGGAUGUGGCACUGGACACGAUGUGAGAGCAAUUGCCUGCCCUGAGCGUUCUGUUGUUGGGUUGGACAUAUCUGAUAAAGCCAUUUAUAAAGCAAAUGAGUUAUCCUCCUCAUCUCCUAAUGCAGAGCACUUCACAUUCAUAAGGGCCGACUUUUUCUCUUGGCAGCCACCUGAGUUAUUCGAUACCAUUUACGAUUAUACGUUCUUUUGUGCCCUUGAACCGGAGAUGAGGUCACAAUGGGCAAUGCGAAUUCAGGAUCUCUUAAAACCUGAUGGAGAGCUUAUAACACUUAUUUUCCCGAUAGAUGAUCAUGUUGGUGGACCACCAUUCAAAGUAUCAGUUUCUGAUUAUGAAGCGGCCUUGCAUCCUGUGGGUUUCAAGGCAGUAUCUAUUGUUGAUAAUAACUUGGCUGUUAAAGCUCGAAAGGGAAGAGAGAAGCUUGGAAGAUGGAAAAGACCUCUGAUGCAAUCAUUGCUAUGAAUCUAUGAUAAUCUGUUAAUGCUGUACGGAUCUUUUAUUGCAUCUUCCGUAGAUACUCUUGCGGAUGGAUUCAUGCAAAGCAUUUUCUGCCAAAGGAGAAUUGAAAAACUCAGGACGGAAACGAUAACACUGGUUUCAAGAAAGAAGUUCAACACCGACUUCCUCAAGUCCCGCAUCAGAACACAAUGACAUAAUAUUCUUCUUCUCUCCUUUAUAAACUAGAAACUGCAUGGAGGAGAGAACAAAUAAGAUGCUAUAAAAGGAAACCAAAAAAUUGUGGGAGGAGAUUAGGAAAUUCCUGACCUGCUGUCGGACGGAAUGAUAUCCAGGUAAGAAAGUCACUCCUGGCCAUGUAUCCUCAGUAGGCAUACCAAAGAUACUUCAGAGAAUUAAGGAACCCAAUAAUGUUAAAAGUGUGAUCAAUUUUGUAUAUGUUAAUAUAAGAAGACAAGUAGAUUUCUGUACCUGAAUAUUUCACAUAGCGUAUCACCAGCCAGAGUAUUUUCGCUGAAUAGAAGCUUGCCUGUCAUCAUCUCGUAAAAUAGACAGCCAACUGACCAAAUAUCAGCUGAACCAGAAUAAUUGGUGGCCCCUAAGAGGAUUUCAGGUGCUCUGGUCCCACGGUUUCCAACCCGAGUGAGCUCUGUACCAAGUCGACAGCCUUGGCCACAAAAUUUCUUCGUCAGCCAAAGAUCAGCAAUCUUCACCACUAAAGUAUCCGUAUCUAUCAGCACAUUUCUAGGUUUUAUGUCUCGGUGUAUAAUUUUGCGAGAAUGAUAAUUGGAGAGACCAGACAGAACCUGAUACAGAAUUUUCUGCAAAAAGAGGAACCUCUCAUUCUACAAUUUGAUGGAUCAACCUAUGCAAAUCGGUGUUCGUAUGCUCAUAGAUGAGAUCCACAGUAUUCUCUUGAACUUGGACUGCAAGUAACCUGAUUUCGCAGAUUGCAGACAAAUCAUUAUGUCAUAUUGCAUUUUUCUGAAUGGAUUGCAGGUUUAAGAUUAGUUUGACAACUGAAAUAAUCACCUUAUAAUGUUUGUAUGCUGUAAUCCCUUGACUAGAGAAACUUCGUCGAGUACUGAUCUUGGAACUCCUUCAAGUUUAUCCGUAAUUGGCACUGUCUGAAUUGCUAUUAUCUGUUUAGUUUUAGUGUUAAUACCCCAGUGAAAGUAACCCAGGUUUCCUUGUUUGAUCA